rnacentral:rRNA from 1 species
CAGCCGUAAACUAUGCGCGUUAGGUGUAUCGGUGACCACGAGUCACCGAGGUGCCGAAGGGAAACCGUGAAACGUGCCGCCUGGGAAGUACGGCCGCAAGGCUGAAACUUAAAGGAAUUGGCGGGGGAGGCACAACAACGGGUGGGAGCCUGCGGUUUAAUUGGACUCAACGCCGGACAACUCACCGGGAACGACAGCAAUAAUGUAGGCCAGGCUGAAGACCUUGCCUGAAUCGCUGAGAGGAGGUGCAUGGCGUAGACGUCU